GACGAACGCUGGCGGCGUGCUUAACACAUGCAAGUCGAACGGAAAGGCCCUGCUUUUGUGGGGUGCUCGAGUGGCGAACGGGUGAGUAGCACGUGAGUAACCUGCCCUUGACUUUGGGAUAACUUCAGGAAACUGGGGCUAAUACCGGAUAGGAGCUCCUGCUGCAUGGUGGGAGUUGGAAAGUUUCGGCGGUUGGGGAUGGACUCGCGGCUUAUCAGCUUGUUGGUGGGGUAGUGGCUUACCAAGGCUUUGACGGGUAGCCGGCCUGAGAGGGUGACCGGCCACAUUGGGACUGAGAUACGGCCCAGACUCCUACGGGAGGCAGCAGUGGGGAAUAUUGCACAAUGGGCGGAAGCCUGAUGCAGCAACGCCGCGUGCGGGAUGACGGCCUUCGGGUUGUAAACCGCUUUCGCCUGUGACGAAGCGUGAGUGACGGUAAUGGGUAAAGAAGCACCGGCUAACUACGUG
rnacentral:rRNA from 1 species